rnacentral:rRNA from 1 species
AAACGACGYCYARUACCGGAUAUGACCUGUGACGGCAUCGUCUGCAGGUGGAAAGAAUUUUGGUCAAGGAUGGACUCGCGGCCUAUCAGGUAGUUGGUGAGGUAACGGCUCACCAAGCCGACGACGGGUAGCCGGCCUGAGAGGGUGACCGGCCACACUGRGACUGAGACACGGCCCAGACUCCUACGGGAGGCAGCAGUGGGGAAUAUUGCACAAUGGGCGAAAGCCUGAUGCAGCAACGCCGCGUGAGGGACGACGGCCUUCGGGUUGUAAACCUCUUUUAGUUGGGAAGAAGGGAGCUUGCUCUUGACGGUACCAGCAGAAAAAGCACCGGCUAACUACGUGCCAGCAGCCGCGGUAAUACGUAGGGUGCAAGCGUUGUCCGGAAUUAUUGGGCGUAAAGAGCUCGUAGGCGGUUUGUCGCGUCUGCUGUGAAAUCUGGGGGCUCAACCCCCAGCCUGCAGUGGGUACGGGCAGACUAGAGUGCGGUAGGGGAGAUUGGAAUUCCUGGUGUAGCGGUGGAAUGCGCAGAUAUCAGGAGGAACACCGAUGGCGAAGGCAGAUCUCUGGGCCGUUACUGACGCUGAGGAGCGAAAGCAUGGGGAGCGAACAGGAUUAGAUACCCUGGUAGUCCAUGCCGUAAACGUUGGGAACUAGAUGUAGGGGCCAUUCCACGGUUUCUGUGUCGCAGCUAACGCAUUAAGUUCCCCGCCU